AUUGAACGCUGGCGGCAUGCCUUACACAUGCAAGUCGAACGGUAACAGGUCUUCGGAUGCUGACGAGUGGCGAACGGGUGAGUAAUACAUCGGAACGUGCCCGAUCGUGGGGGAUAACGAGGCGAAAGCUUUGCUAAUACCGCAUACGAUCUACGGAUGAAAGCGGGGGAUCUUCGGACCUCGCGCGGACGGAGCGGCCGAUGGCAGAUUAGGGAGUUGGUGGGAUAAAAGCUUACCAAGCCGACGAUCUGUAGCUGGUCUGAGAGGAUGAUCAGCCACACUGGGACUGAGACACGGCCCAGACUCCUACGGGAGGCAGCAGUGGGGAAUUUUGGACAAUAGGCGAAAGCCUGAUCCAGCCAUGCCGCGUGCAGGAUGAAGGCCUUCGGGUUGUAAACUGCUUUUGUACGGAACGAAAAGCCUCUUUCUAAUAAAGAGGGGUCAUGACGGUACCGUAAGAAUAAGCACCGGCUAACUACGUG
rnacentral:rRNA from 1 species